rnacentral:sRNA from 1 species
GGUUAUGGAACAUUCUAAAACUUAGACAAGACGAUUGUGAUUGGCUGAAGGGCAUACGCCCUCCUCCAGGGUGACGUGUCUGCCUAUGGAUAUCAGUUGCCAGAGAAACCUGGCUUUACUAUGGCGGUUGGAGGAACGGCAGUGAUCACACGUCGGCUGCUGGGAAGAUCUGGAUUCUCGUUUCAGGUCACCAUCAGAAAAGCUAAGUUUGCUGUAUAGUGAGGAUCAGGAGAUCUGAUCCUGAUUGCAGAAUCUUCCCUGAUUACAGAAUCUUGGGUUGUAUCUCCCACUUCACCCUUCUAGACCAUCCCAGAAGAUCUAUAAGAUUUCAUCUGGGAAAUCACUAGGAGUUCUUGGAAGGGAAAGAAGGAAGAUUGUUGGUUGGAAUAAAAACAGGGUUGAAUGAGUUCCAGAAAGCAGGGUUCUCAACCUCGUGGACAGCAAUCUGCAG